ACGCACGCUGGCGGCGUGCUUCACACAUGCACGUCGAACGGAAAGGCCCUGCUUUUGUGGGGUGCUCGAGUGGCGAACGGGUGAGUAACACGUGAGUAACCUGCCCUUGACUUUGGGAUAACUUCAGGAAACUGGGGCUAAUACCGGAUAGGAGCUCCUGCUGCAUGGUGGGGGUUGGAAAGUUUCGGCGGUUGGGGAUGGACUCGCGGCUUAUCAGCUUGUUGGUGGGGUAGUGGCUUACCAAGGCUUUGACGGGUAGCCGGCCUGAGAGGGUGACCGGCCACAUUGGGACUGAGAUACGGCCCAGACUCCUACGGGAGGCAGCAGUGGGGAAUAUUGCACAAUGGGCGGAAGCCUGAUGCAGCAACGCCGCGUGCGGGAUGACGGCCUUCGGGUUGUAAACCGCUUUCGCCUGUGACGAAGCGUGAGUGACGGUAAUGGGUAAAGAAGCACCGGCUAACUACGUG
rnacentral:rRNA from 1 species